UACGUAGGGUGCAAGCGUUAAUCGGAAUUACUGGGCGUAAAGCGUGCGCAGGCGGUGAUGUAAGACAGGUGUGAAAUCCCCGGGCUUAACCUGGGAACUGCAUUUGUGACUGCAUCGCUGGAGUGCGGCAGAGGGGGAUGGAAUUCCGCGUGUAGCAGUGAAAUGCGUAGAUAUGCGGAGGAACACCGAUGGCGAAGGCAAUCCCCUGGGCCUGCACUGACGCUCAUGCACGAAAGCGUGGGGAGCAACAGG
rnacentral:rRNA from 1 species